rnacentral:tRNA from 1 species
AUUAUUACUUUGGCAGAUUAGUGUGUUUGAUUUAGGUUCAUUUUAAGUAAAAUUUUACAAGUAAUA